rnacentral:rRNA from 1 species
GAUGAACGCUAGCGGCAGGCCUAAUACAUGCAAGUCGAACGGUAACAUGAGUAGCAAUACUUGAUGACGAGUGGCGCACGGGUGCGUAACACGUAUGUAAUCUUCCCACAACUGGGGGAUAGCCCGGAGAAAUCCGGAUUAAUACCCCAUAACCCAGCGAGGUGGCAUCACCUUUCUGGUAAAUCUCCGGAGGUUGUGGAUGAACAUGCGUCCGAUUAGCUAGUUGGCGGGGUAACGGCCCACCAAGGCUACGAUCGGUAGGGGUACUGAGAGGUUAAACCCCCACACUGGUACUGAGACACGGACCAGACUCCUACGGGAGGCAGCAGUAAGGAAUAUUGGACAAUGGAGGCAACUCUGAUCCAGCCAUGCCGCGUGAAGGAUGAAGGCGCUAUGCGUUGUAAACUUCUUUUGAACGGGAAAAAACCCCUUUACGUGUAAAGGGUUGAUUGUACCGUUAGAAUGAGGGUCGGCUAACUUCGUGCCAGCAGCCGCCGUAACAC